CUAGAACAUUGGGAUGCAAAUUUUGAUGGUACAUUAAUGCUAAUAUUGUCUAGCCAAGCAAAUAAUUAUACAUUAUAAUCACCACCCCAUGAUCAACAAUUGAAGAUCUACCAAUACAACCAUUCGUCCUAAUUACACAAUUCUUUAUUUAAUUCUAUUAUACCAGAAACAUUCAUGCUUAGAGAUAUAUUCAUUCUUUCUGAGCACUGGGCUGAAUUUAUUGGAGAAGAUAAAACGGCACAUGGAAUCCUUUAUUACAGUGUCAACCUGAAGCUAAUUUCUUUGGAUGGAACCCGUUUAUGUAAUUUCAGCCUGCAAGAGCAAGUGGCAGGGCAAUUUAUUUAGAAAAAAAAUUAAAUUUUAUUGCAAUUUAUUAUAAUAAAGAAGAAAAAAACUUUAUUUGAUUUAAAUUUUGUAUGUGUUGGUUAUAUGGUAGCUCACCGGCAAGCUCAAAAGAGAAUCCUUAUGUUUGGGAUGUUCUGCACCUUUGAAUAAUCUUUGCUGUCCACAUCUUGUAUACUGGCUGUAAGACUUGAAGAACAAUAUGACAAAUCCAAAGUUUGAAGAUUGGUUAAGAAUUCAAUACCUUGAGGCACUGCAUGUAAUGACAAGCAGGUAUCAAUCCACAUAUCAUGGAUAUCUGGCAUAACCCCCUUCUCUAUGGUUAUUCCUGUCAGUUGAGGGAAAUUAAACAAAAAUAACGUUUUCAGCUUGGCAAAUCCACUGCAAAAAUAUAGAUUUUCUCCAACAAAGGAAUUAACUAGAUCAAGCCGUCUCAAAUUGGGUAGUGCUCCAAUGUGGGGGAGUGGAUCUUCCUUCAAUCUAGACCAAUGCAACCACAAA
rnacentral:misc_RNA from 1 species